GGGACAACAGUUGGAAACGACUGCUAAUACCGCAUAAGCCCACGACCCGGCAUCGGGUAGAGGGAAAAGGAGCAAUCCGCUUUGAGAUGGCCUCGCGUCCGAUUAGCUAGUUGGUGAGGUAACGGCCCACCAAGGCGACGAUCGGUAGCCGGACUGAGAGGUUGAACGGCCACAUUGGGACUGAGACACGGCCCAGACUCCUACGGGAGGCAGCAGUGGGGAAUAUUGCACAAUGGGGGAAACCCUGAUGCAGCGACGCCGCGUGGAGGAAGAAGGUCUUCGGAUUGUAAACUCCUGUUGUUGAGGAAGAUAAUGACGGUACUCAACAAGGAAGUGACGGCUAACUACGUGCCAGCAGCCGCGGUAAAACGUAGGUCACAAGCGUUGUCCGGAAUUACUGGGUGUAAAGGGAGCGCAGGCGGGAAGACAAGUUGGAAGUGAAAUCCAUGGGCUCAACCCAUGAACUGCUUUCAAAACUGUUUUUCUUGAGUAGUGCAGAGGUAGGCGGAAUUCCCGGUGUAGCGGUGGAAUGCGUAGAUAUCGGGAGGAACACCAGUGGCGAAGGCGGCCUACUGGGCACCAACUGACGCUGAGGCUCGAAAGUGUGGGUAGCAAACAGGAUUAGAUACCCUGGUAGUCCACACUGUAAACGAUGAUUAGUAGGUGUUGGAGGAUUGACCCCUUCAGUGCCGCAG
rnacentral:rRNA from 1 species